rnacentral:rRNA from 1 species
ACAGCAGUCGCCGCGGUAAAACGAGGGGGGCAAGCGUUGUUCGGAAUUAUUGGGCGUAAAGGGUGCGUAGGCGGUUUGAUAAGUCUUGUGUGAAAUCUAUGGGCUCAACCCACAGUCUGCACAGGAAACUGUCGGGCUUGAGAGUGGGAGAGGUGAGUGGAAUUUCCGGUGUAGCGGUGAAAUGCGUAGAUAUCGGAAGGAACACCUGUGGCGAAAGCGGCUCACUGGACCAUUUCUGACGCUGAUGCACGAAAGCUAGGGGAGCAAACAGGAUUAGAUACCCCAGUAGUCCCUGUCUCUUAUAC